CAAAAGACAUUUGGGUCGGACCCGUUACAACGUAGCCAGAGAAGCCCCAACGCCAUGCUAUUGUUGCUGCCGCGACGGAUACGGCGACUGGGGGCCGGGACACCGGCCCGCCGAGGAGGCGGAGAGCUUUGUCCGGCGACCCCGGCGAGAGCGCGCGCGCGGCCUCCACGCGGCCCGGGCCCCCACCCCACGGUCCGCGGAUGCUGUAGCCGCCGCGGCCUCGCUACACUGUGGCCUUCUCCGCGCGCGCGGUGCCGGCCAGGCUUCUUGACCCUCGGGCGCCGCCGUACCCCAGCCCCGCUGUGGGCGCCGGCGGCCCCCUCCCCCCUCGGCGCCCCGGCUCCAUUCAAACCGUCCUCCCAAGCCCCGCGCCACGCUCCCCCCGCGGCCCGCGUUCCUUACCGAGAGCCGCCGGCGCCGUCGCCUUCCCGGCGCCGCCCCCGCCCCUCCGCGCGGGGCCGGGGGCAGAGUGGGCGUCUCGCCUCUCCUCACGAAACAAAGAAGCCGCCGCCGCCACCGCCGCCGAGAGAGGGUAAGUCUCGCGCGCGCGCCCGCUCUCCUCGGCCGCCCCCCCACGCCGCCCGCGCCCCCGCUGCGCGCUCACUCGCCAGCUCCCCUCCCCCCUACGGUCGGCUUCUCUCGCUUCCGCCGCCCGCCCGGCCUCGUGCGCGCGCCCGUCCGCCCUUCCGCUCCCAGCGCGCGUGCGCGCCCGCUCGGGGCCUAGCGGAGGUAGGCGGGACCAGAGAAAGCUGGCGCUCCAGAUGUUCCCCCCCGACUCAAUCCGGGAAGGUCUUGCUCAUGCGCACCGGCGUCUUCGUCCUCACGCUGCGUCCCCACGCUGCCGAGCAUGCGCAGAGUGGGCGCCACUGCGGCGGUGGCUGCGUUGGUUCCCGCGGCUGCGGCGGGGGGGUUGGGGGAUGGGAUGGGACGGAAUGGCGGCGGGGUCUGCAGGGAAGGGUUGGCCGAGGGGCUUUGAGACCUGCAGAUGAAGACCCGAGGCCGUGGUGUUUCUUAAACGUCCUUGACAUGCUAAACACUGAGCUGGUCCCUGGCCUCCAGUGGUACACUGGGCAGACAGUGUCCUGGUCGUGAUGUGGACAAUCUGUGAGUUCGGGUGACCGUCUCCCAUAUUGAUCAGCUAAUACAUGAUAGGAAAAUGUUAAGUGCAACGGAAGAAAGGCCCACAGCGCAGAGAUCAUAACAGGGGACCCUCCUGGAGUUGAGCAGUCAAGUCAGCUAGACCUCUCGGAGAAAGACGCGCUUAUGCCAAGUCGCAAAAGAUGAGCAAGGGCCGGGAGGAGGAGGGCACUAGGUCGAGGGAACAAGAUGUACCAGGCCCCCGAGGAGGAAGAGAGCAUUGGAACCGAAGGAGGCCCAUUUGGCUGAGGAGGGCAGAUCAGCAACAGCUACGCUGGGCGGGGCCUCGUAGCCUGCGGUGAGGCUCUUUAGCUUUUCCCUGACCACGUUGGGGAAGUAUUCGUUGGGGAAGUAUUCGAAAGGCUUUAAUCAAGAGAUUCCCAUAGUUACUCAUGCUGCAGGGUGGAGUCUGGGCCAAAGGGGAAGAAGGACAGGAGGUGAUGAGUCCCUUUAGGCCAUUGCCACGGCCCGGGGUAGAAAGGAUGGUGGCCCAAGGUAGGGUGAGGGUGGUAGACGUAGAGAGAGGUGGAGGAAAUUGGAGGUAGGAUGGAUAGAAGCUGAAGCAAUAGACCUGAGAGGUGAAAGCGUGAGCAGCUUUGUCUGCAGGGGAGACCAUGAGGACAUGAGAAUGGCGGCAAGGAAGGAGCUAGAGUCCUGCUUUAAGGGCAAGAUGUCUACCGGGAACAGUUUCGUAGACCAGUGCUUCGUGGCUGUACGUUGGGAUCCCAGUGUAAAUAAAACUGGUGCCUUUAACGCUCAGGGCCUUUCCUAUUCCACCGGAAUGACUCUUCAAGGUCACAGGCACCUGCCUGUUGCUAAAUGCAGGAGUCAAUUCUCAUCUUCACUUUCCCUGACCUUCUGGCAACAGUUGACACGUUACCUCCUUAGAACAUUCUAUUCAUGGGGCGCCUGGGUGGGUGGCUCAGUCGGUUGAACGUCUGACUUCAACUCAGACCAUGAUCUAGUGGUUCACGAGUUCGAGCCCCGCGUCAGG